UACGUAGGGGGCGAGCGUUGUCCGAAGUUACUGGGCGUAAAGAGUACGUAGGUGGCUUGUUAAGAUACAUCUGAAAGGUGACAGCUCAACUGUCAAUGGUGGUGUAAGACUGGCAGGCUUGAGGCAAGCAGAAGAGUGUGGAACUCCGAGUGUAGCGGUGGAAUGCGUAGAUAUCGGGAGGAACACCUGUGGCGAAAGCGGCUCACUGGACCACAACUGACGCUGAUGCGCGAAAGCUAGGGGAGCAAACAGG
rnacentral:rRNA from 1 species